rnacentral:rRNA from 1 species
CCAGACUCCUACGGGAGGCAGCAGUGAGGAAUAUUGGUCAAUGGCCGCAGGGCUGAACCAGCCAAGUCGCGUGAGGGAUGACGGUCCUAUGGAUUGUAAACCUCUUUUGUCAGGGAGCAAAGGGCGCCACGUGUGGCGCUUUGCGAGUACCUGAAGAAAAAGCAUCGGCUAACUCCGUGCCAGCAGCCGCGGUAAUACGGAGGAUGCGAGCGUUAAUCGGAAUUACUGGGCGUAAAGGGUGUGCAGGCGGUUUUGCAAGAUGGAUGUGAAAGCCCCGGGCUUAACCUGGGAAAGCCAUACAUGACUGCAAGACUAGAGUGCGUCAGAGGGGGGUGGAAUUCCAAGUGUAGCAGUGAAAUGCGUAGAUAUUUGGAAGAACACCGAUGGCGAAGGCAGCAUACCGGCGCCCAACUGACGCUGAAGCACGAAAGCGUGGGUAUCGAACAGGAUUAGAUACCCCUGUAA